GCUUGGUGGCAUUAGAGAGAGGGAAAUACCUGAUCCCAUUCCGAACUCAGAAGUCAAGCCUCUGAUCGCCGAUGGUACUGCACACAAGAGUGUGGGAGAGUAGGUCGCCGCCAAGCU
rnacentral:rRNA from 1 species